rnacentral:rRNA from 1 species
UACAGAGGGGGCAAGCGUUGUUCGGAAUUACUGGGCGUAAAGGGCGCGUAGGCGGCCUGCUAAGUCGAACGUGAAAUCCCUGGGCUCAACCCAGGAACUGCGUCCGAUACUGGUUGGCUUGAAUCCGGGAGAGGGAUGUGGAAUUCCAGGUGUAGCGGUGAAAUGCGUAGAUAUCUGGAGGAACACCGGUGGCGAAGGCGGCCAACUGGUCCGACACUGACGCUGAGGUGCGAAAGCGUGGGGAGCAAACAGG